GGGCCUGUAGCUCAAUUGGCUAGAGCACUUCAUUCGCAUUGAAGAGGUUAUGGGUUCGAUUCCCGUCAGGUCCA
rnacentral:tRNA from 1 species